rnacentral:rRNA from 1 species
UACGGAGGGAGCUAGCGUUGUUCGGAAUUACUGGGCGUAAAGCGCGCGUAGGCGGCUUUGUAAGUUAGAGGUGAAAGCCCGGAGCUCAACUCCGGAACUGCCUUUAAGACUGCAUCGCUUGAAUCCGGGAGAGGUGAGUGGAAUUCCGAGUGUAGAGGUGAAAUUCGUAGGUAUUCGGAAGAACACCAGUGGCGAAGGCGGCUCACUGGACCGGCAUUGACGCUGAGGCGCGAAAGCGUGGGGAG